CCUACGGGGGGCAGCAGUGGGGAAUAUUGCACAAUGGGGGAAACCCUGAUGCAGCGACGCCGCGUGAGUGAAGAAGUAAUUCGGUAUGUAAAGCUCUAUCAGCAGGGAAGAAAAUGACGGUACCUGAGUAAGAAGCCCCGGCUAACUACGUGCCAGCAGCCGCGGUAAUACGUAGGGGGCAAGCGUUAACCGGAUUUACUGGGUGUAAAGGGAGCGUAGACGGCAGGACAAGUCUGGCGUGAAAGGCCGGGGCUUAACCCCGGAACUGCUUUGGAAACUGUGCAGCUAGAGUGCAGGAGAGGUAAGUGGCAUUCCUAGUGUAGCGGUGAAAUGCGUAGAUAUUAGGCGGAACACCAGUGGCGAAGGCGGCUUACUGGACUGUACCUGACGUUGAGGCUCGAAAGCGUGGGGAGCAAACAGGAUUAGAUACCCGUGUAGUC
rnacentral:rRNA from 1 species